AAGUCGUAACAAGGUUUCCGUAGGUGAACCUGCGGAAGGAUCAUUAAAGAGAAUAAAAUACAACACCGUGCACAAACACAACACCAACAUUAAUCAGUGUCAAACUAAUACGACAACUUUUAGCAACGGAUCUCUAGGUUCUC
rnacentral:misc_RNA from 1 species